GAGUGCACCUAACUUAACUGCUACACCAUGGGGCCGGCCUCUAUUCUUAUUUUAUAAGAUAGCUCCUCACCCUUGCUUCAGAGGAAAAGAGAAAACAAAAAUGGCUGAGUGAAAGUGAUGAGGAGAUGCAAGGAGAGUUUCACAAAAGUGGCUGUUCAGGAUGCAGAAUGAGAUUUAACAGUUUCCUCCUCACUGUGUGUCUCUCAAAUAUAAACCCUGCAGCUAAUGCCUCAGAGAAGCCAGGAUGCUGUUUGGAUAAAGAGACAAGGGAUUCUUGGAAGCUGACCCAGGCAUCUCUGGCAGUCUGAGACACGUGGCCUUGUCGGGGACACCAGAGAAGCCAGGGAUUUGGGGAUGCGCCCCAGGCUUUGGGGAUCAGGCUGAUGUGAGGCCUGGGAGAAAGGCUGCAGAGGAACUUGGACACAUGACCAAAAAGAGGAGAAUUUGAAGAGACAACAAGCUUAUCCAUCAGUUCCAAGGAAAACACCAAGUAGGGACCCCAGAGCCACAAAGUUUUCCUGAAUUGAUGUGGAAGGCAUCAGGAGAGAGCUGGGAACAGAAGUGGUCUAUCUCGUCGAGUUCCUGCUGUUGGGCCAGUUAUGGAAAUCAAAUGGUUGGUAAGCUUGAACUACCUUCUGUGACUCAAGGUUGACGACGGCUGCAAAUCCCAUUCCUCAACACCGCCCCCCCACCCCCACCAUGAUUCAACCCACGCCUCUGGAUGGCAGCUCCCCAGCAAAGAUGAUGAAACUGGGCACAGAGAAAAAAGAAGAAACCAGCCACUCUCUCAUGGCCAGGAAAAGAUAUGUGCAUGUCCACCUUCAUGAAUUUUUGUUCCUUCAGACAAGCGACGAAUUAGAAUAACCUAGGACGCCUUCCAGUGGAUGCUCUCAGGCCCCAGGGAGCACAGAAAACAAUUCUGCCCUUCUAAAAAAGAAAAAGAAAAGAAAAAAGAAAAAAAUACAUAGUAAUGUUUCUUCUUCUUACGCAAAAUUACAGGUGUGACUGAUGGGUUAUUAAUUACAAAACGGCCUUAUUAAGCUCUAAUGAAGGCAUUGGGUUUUUUUUCUUUUAUUCUCUAAGUACUCGUAGAAAAUUUUAGCAUUACAAAUUACUCGAGUCAAAAUUAUUUACCAGUAUGGUAAUUCUUUCCAAGACAACUCUAGACUUGAAGUCAUUUUCCUUACCAGUACCACCCGGUAGAGUAAUUGGCUGCAAUUAGAGAUGACUUUGUCAUUCCUCUCCGAAUCUGGGUUCAGCAUCCGUGAAACAUGCAGAUCCUUUUCUCUUUCCCAAUAGGGAUUUGGAGCUUCUGCAAAUCUUGUCCUCCACUUAGAAAGGGAAAAGGAAGGAGUUCCCCUGUGUAACACA